CCAAACUGGACAUUACUAGGAGAAAAGAAAGCGAGGAGGUUGAACUACCUGCUGUUGCCCAACCAGACAGAGACAUACCGCCAGGAUAGCAGAGGAAUCAGAUGCUCACUCAGCGCUUGGCGAGCUCCUGGUUCCUGUAGGGUGGUGAUGGUGCAGUGGAUAAGACGCAUGUCUUUGGUGUGAGAGACCCAGGUUCAAUCCCCCCCUUGACCCCUCCUUCCUCCAGAGUGACAUGUGGCCUGGUUUUGUGAGCAGUGACCUCCAGAGCCCAGUGGAGCAGAGAGCACUUGUUUGGAGGAGACAGAGGUAACGUGUUGUGUGCAUGUAAUCUUACAACACUGAGGCCGAGGGUAGGAUGUCCAAUAUGAAAUAAAGAGUUAUCAAAGUGAUAGAAUAGUGAUUACUGUGAGAACCCAGUAUCUGUUCCUCUAUGUACACAGCUGUUGUAAAGAACAUCAUCAUUAUAUUGUGAUCAACACCAUAAUAAAGGUUGUGAAAUGA